UUUAACCAAAGCAUUUUGAAAUGUGAAAUGCCUCCAAAAAAUAAGUUAGGGCUCAAAAGAUUCCAUUCAUUCUCGUUCUCUCUUCUCCCUCUAACAACCUCUAAUGUACUGUACUCUCCUCAAUUCAAUCCUCUUCUCGCCGCCGGAAAAGAAAAUCAUCUAGGUCGCCGCUGGUGCUGCCAUCUUUCUUCUCGCCGGUGCUACUCUUCUUUCUUCCUCACCUUAGCAUCGUUGGUUUAACUCGUCCCCAAUUGUCUUCUUCGUUCUUCCGACAAUCUUAGCCGAAUCUGGAUUCUUCGUUCGUGGUGCUGGGUUCUGGUGGAUGGGAGUUGUAGGUGGGUGGUUGUCGUAAGUGGGUGUUCGUGGGACUGGCUUCUGGUGGGUGGGGGUUAUAGUGGGUUAUGGUUCUGGGCGCUUGAAGUCGGAAAAGAAGCUCAAUUCAACCCUCUUCCUCACCGCCGGAAGCUCCUUUAGGUCGCCGACGGUUCCUCAUCUCCCCCGAUCAUCGGUUAAAUGUUGUUUCCAAGUUGAAUUUGUGUUCUCGCUGCCGGAAUCUGCCAUUGACGCCUCCUCUUACAUGCUUUUUCAACCUUUAAUUUGACAGCUUGGUCCUUCAAUUCGAUAGACUACAAGAUCCCUUUGUGUUUUGCUUUUGACGGAAUAUAGAGUUCAAUUUUCAUAGAAGCGGAUAUUUUGACUCAUUUUCAUCUGGAAGAUGAUGAAGCUAAGAAAAAAGUUUUCCUUUGUGUCGUUCGUGAUAGAUUCAGAGAUUUUAAGGCCAAGUUAGUGAGUGGUUGGAUCACUAAAACAAGACCGAGAACAGUGGCCCAAAAGAAGAAGGCAAAGAAAGAAAAAGAAAAGGGGAAAGAAGUUAGGCAAGAAGAUGGAGUUGCGGAGAAGGAGAAUGAGAAUGGGGAAGAGAAAGAGAUGAUGCCUUAGGAGAUUUGGCCUCAUAUCACUGAAGAUGACUAGAAGGACUUUGUUGCUUUCAAAAACAGUGACACCGGAGUUGCAAAGCGUGAGAAGAAUAAGAAAGUUUCGUUGAAGAAGAAGCACUAUCAUCGUAUGGGUCCUAAAACCUUUAAUGAGUGCAGAAAUGAGUGGAUUGAAAACGGUCUUUACCCAAAAUUUUCGGAUGGCUCCACAGUUACGACUGCUAAGAUUACUCAUGCUGCAGAUUGGUUUUGUUCGAUGUAUGGUAAAAAUGCGAAGGGAGAGAGAGUUAUUCCAAAUGCUGAAACGCAUAAAGUCGCUGCUAAAGUUGAAGAAACCCCAUGUGAACUUCUCCUUCGUGAUGGUUCAGUUGUUGUUGGGGUGAUUGUAGUUGCUUAUGGUCAUGCACAACCAACCAUGGAGGGUCGUAAAGUGCAUGGUUCUCUUGUACCCAGUAGGAAUUUGGCGGUGUCUGUAGACAUCAUCGUAGAUGGUUGCAAGGAGCUUGCUCUUCCAGUCCCGACGCCUAAUAAUAACCUUCUUGUUUUGAGAGAUGCUAAAUCAACUUUUGUUGCAUGGCCAAUUUCAUUAGUGAGGUUUCCAAGUCAGAAACCUAUCAUUUCCAAAGGUGCAAAAGGGGAGAAAAGAAAAAGGGUUCAGAAGGGAAUGUGAAAAAAGUGGGUGCAAGUCGCAAAAUUUCAAAUGUCGAUUCUCUUUAUAAAGAAAAGAUUUUGGAAUCAAAUGCUAUGGAAAAGGAUUCACUUUCCAAGAAAGUAGAUUCACUAGCAAAGAAUGAUAGCAAAUCACAAACACAAAGCUUAACUCAACAUAUGAAAAAGCUAUCAUCCAAAGGCUCGACACCGCAUUUGGUUAACCUAGUUGGUCGACUGGUCGAUCAAACGAUAAUUGAUCUUCUCUCUGGUCAAUGUUUUUAUUUGCAUUCAUGUGUUUGUCAGUUGCCAGAUGAUAAACCUAUAUAGGUUGCAUUAGAAAAGGAUCAAUUUCACUACAUGGAAGAUUGUUCGACAUGGAUACAUAAGGUGGAUGUUCAUGAGUUUCUUUGUGGUGAAAUGUUGAAUGUAUCCAUUAUUCAAGUUUUCAUGAGGUCCCUAUAUGAAGAUUUGCUCACACAUGAUUCCAUUACAAGGAUCGGGUGGUUGUGUCCACAAGAGACUCGAGAUGCAUAAUGCUUGCGUAGCCAGGCAGAAUUAAGGUUAUACAUUCACAUUGAGAUCGUAGAAUUAAUUCGCAAUGGACAUAAUUUCAUUCUUCCACCAUAUUUUGUAAGUCUCCAUUGGAUGCUCCUUGUGAUAUGUCCCUCUAUCAACACAAUCUACAUGUUUGAUUAUGCUAAUACUGAAGACACACCAAGACUGGUAUUGAUUAGAAUACAUCUAAAUAGUCAAAUGAAGAAAAUUAGUGGAAGAGGGCUAAGAAGGGAAUCAAUCCCUAUUUGGAAAACAAUGAAGGUAAAGUGGGCUAAGAAGGGAAUCAAUCCCUAUUUGGAAAACAAUGAAGAUAUUGUGCACAACAAAAGGAUGGUGUUGAAUGUGGCUAUUACAUGAUGAGGUACAUGUAUGAUGUAGUCAAAUGCUGCACUUCAGUGGAAGAUAUAGAGCAAGCUUAUAAGACUCAAAGGCUCGAGCCCUUCAAUGCUAGCGAGAUAGAUGAAGUACGAGACAAGUUUGCUUUGUUUAUGCUCAAUAAUUGUAUUUGAACGCCUUGAGAACGUUAUUAGUAGUUAGUACUAUUUUAUUUGAACUUAGAAAUUUAUGUGUAUUAUGUAAUUUUUAUUUCAACUUACUUUUAUUUGUAGGUACAAUUAUUUACAUGUUAUUUAUAAUAUAUAAUAUUUUGUUAUUGUAGUCAAUUUUGAUUUAGUACAGCUAGAUAACUCGCACAGGGUGCAGCAAUAUAUGGUUACAAGGCUAUAAUUAAACAUUGGUGCGAAAAAAUUCAAUAUUAAAAAAAAGAUAA